CCUACGGGGGGCUGCAGUGGGGAAUAUUGGACAAUGGGGGCAACCCUGAUCCAGCCAUGCCGCGUGUGUGAAGAAGGCCCUCGGGUUGUAAAGCACUUUCAGUGAGGAAGAACGCCUGGUGGUUAAUACCCAUCAGGAAAGACAUCACUCACAGAAGAAGCACCGGCUAACUCCGUGCCAGCAGCCGCGGUAAUACGGAGGGUGCGAGCGUUAAUCGGAAUUACUGGGCGUAAAGCGCGCGUAGGUGGCUUGAUAAGCCGGUUGGGAAAGCCCCGGGCUCAACCUGGGAACGGCAUCCGGAACUGUCAAGCUAGAGUGCAGGAGAGGAAGGUAGAAUUCCCGGUGUAGCGGUGAAAUGCGUAGAGAUCGGGAGGAAUACCAGUGGCGAAGGCGGCCUUCUGGACUGACACUGACACUGAGGUGCGAAAGCGUGGGUAGCAAACAGGAUUAGAUACACUUGUAGUC
rnacentral:rRNA from 1 species